rnacentral:rRNA from 1 species
GACGAACGCUGGCGGCGUGCUUAACACAUGCAAGUCGAACGGAAAGGCCUCUUUCGGGGGGUACUCGAGUGGCGAACGGGUGAGUAACACGUGAGUAACCUGCCCUUGACUUUGGGAUAACUUCGGGAAACUGGGGCUAAUACCGGAUAGGAGCUCCUGCUGCAUGGUGGGGGUUGGAAAGUUUCGGCGGUUGGGGAUGGACUCGCGGCUUAUCAGCUUGUUGGUGGGGUAGUGGCUUACCAAGGCUUUGACGGGUAGCCGGCCUGAGAGGGUGACCGGCCACAUUGGGACUGAGAUACGGCCCAGACUCCUACGGGAGGCAGCAGUGGGGAAUAUUGCACAAUGGGUGGAAGCCUGAUGCAGCAACGCCGUGUGCGGGAUGACGGCCUUCGGGUUGUAAACCGCUUUCGCUCAUGACGAAGCUUUGUGUGACGGUAGUGGGUAAAGAAGCACCGGCUAACUACGU